AAGGAGGCUCUAAGCAUGUUAGAAAAUUCUCUAUAUCCAUCAACGUGCCUUAAUGAUUGGCGAAUAACGCAGAAGGCUAGACAAGCCUUGCUCCUAGUAGAGAAGCUCUCUAUUGCUGAUUACAUGAACAAAUUCCCAUGCCUAAAGGUGCAAAAUGCAAAACAGUUGUUUGAACUCGAUUUUGGCGAACUAAAACCAGAGAAAAGUCAUCUCUUUAGUAUACGGUGACACAUUGUGAAAACAAUCCUAAUAAAGCAAUUGCAAAUACUAGAUACGGAUCAAAAAAAGAAAAAGAAAUUGAACGUCGAUGAGAUAGCUUUGAUAAAGUUGUUGUUAACUUUAGAGCCUGAAAAUCAAGAUUCCGUAGUAUUGUAUUUGCUGCAAUUGUUGAUCGGAACAGGUCAAACUGGGAAAUGAAAGAGAGGUGAACCCCUUGAAACUGUGAAAAGUACAAGCCGGGUGACAUUCGGCACAGUUUCAUUUAUCGAGUUGAGAAAACGGAAGAUAUUGACCAGGAAGUGAAGCAGCUGAAAAAUAAAGCAUUUGCAAGGAAAGAAACGUUACAGCUAUUUAUGUUUAUCUUGGGACCACUAAUAAAAAUCGAGGAAC